CAAGUGAUUGGGGUGAAGUCGUAACAAGGUAGCCGUACCGGAAGGUGCGGCUGGAUCACCUCCUUUCUAAGGA
rnacentral:rRNA from 1 species